UGGUCUUGUUUUUUGUCCUCCACAACUGGGCUAUUAACUUACAGGUUGGUUGGUGGGCAGUCAAAAUAUUCCUGUUGUGAUGAAUUCUAGUCUUGUUCCUCAGUUUGUCACCUGAAUUUUCUGUACAAGACCCUGGAUUGAAGGUUUUAAUGAGAAGCCUGCUCCAUUACCUAAGGAUGUUAGCAAAAUUUAUGGUCAGUUACCUGCUUUGAAGGCUCUCAACUUAUCUAACAACUUAAUGUCACUACAUAAAUCAAAACUUCCACCACUGUAAAGCAUCUGCAUUCUAGUUUUAAAUAAUGCUGGUGUAGAUUGGGAGCAGGUUCCUUUCUAUAUCUUUCCCCAACUUAUAUAUGCUGCUUGAAUUUCCAACAGUGUUUAUUUAUACCUCAUUUUUCCCUGUAUAUAUAUAUAUGCUAAUAUGUGCACAAGUAGUGCUCGAGUAUCAUGUUUUUGGAUUUUACAAAUAAGUAUUUUUUAGUUAACAUUUUGAAUUUA